rnacentral:rRNA from 1 species
CCUACGGGUGGCAGCAGUGGGGAAUAUUGCACAAUGGGCGCAAGCCUGAUGCAGCCAUGCCGCGUGUGUGAAGAAGGCCUUCGGGUUGUAAAGCACUUUCAGCGGGGAGGAAGGCGUUAAGGUUAAUAACCUUGGCGAUUGACGUUACCCGCAGAAGAAGCACCGGCUAACUCCGUGCCAGCAGCCGCGGUAAUACGGAGGGUGCAAGCGUUAAUCGGAAUUACUGGGCGUAAAGCGCACGCAGGCGGUCUGUCAAGUCGGAUGUGAAAUCCCCGGGCUCAACCUGGGAACUGCAUUCGAAACUGGCAGGCUAGAGUCUUGUAGAGGGGGGUAGAAUUCCAGGUGUAGCGGUGAAAUGCGUAGAGAUCUGGAGGAAUACCGGUGGCGAAGGCGGCCCCCUGGACAAAGACUGACGCUCAGGUGCAAAAGCGUGGGGAGCAAACAGGAUUAGAUACCCGUGUAGUC